rnacentral:rRNA from 1 species
UGGGGAAUUUUGGACAAUGGGCGAAAGCCUGAUCCAGCAAUGCCGGGUGUGUGAAGAAGGCCUUCGGGUUGUAAAGCACUUUUGUCCGGAAAGAAAUCCUUGGCUCUAAUACAGUCGGGGGAUGACGGUACCGGAAGAAUAAGCACCGGCUAACUACGUGCCAGCAGCCGCGGUAAUACGUAGGGUGCAAGCGUUAAUCGGAAUUACUGGGCGUAAAGCGUGCGCAGGCGGUUUGCUAAGACCGAUGUGAAAUCCCCGGGCUCAACCUGGGAACUGCAUUGGUGACUGGCAGGCUAGAGUAUGGCAGAGGGGGGUAGAAUUCCACGUGUAGCAGUGAAAUGCGUAGAGAUGUGGAGGAAUACCGAUGGCGAAGGCAGCCCCCUGGGCCAAUACUGACGCUCAUGCACGAAAGCGUGGGGGAGCAAACAGGAUUAGAUACCCUGGUAGUCCACGCCCUAAAACGAUGUCAACUAGUUGUUGGGGAUUCAUUUCCUUAGUAACGUAGCUAACGCGUGAAGUUGACCGCCUGGGGAGUACGGUCGCAAGAUUAAAACUCAAAUGAAUUGACGGGGUCAUAGCUGUUUCCU